rnacentral:rRNA from 1 species
UACGUAGGGUGCAAGCGUUAAUCGGAAUUACUGGGCGUAAAGCGUGCGCAGGCGGUUGUGCAAGACCGAUGUGAAAAUCCCCGGGGCUUAACCCUGGGAAUGGCAUUGGUGACUGCACGGCUAGAGUGUGUCAGAGGGGGUAGGAAUUCCACGUGUAGCAGUGAAAAUGCGUAGAGAUGUGGAGGAAUACCGAUGGCGAAGGCAGCCCCCUGGGAU